rnacentral:rRNA from 1 species
UACGGAGGGUGCAAGCGUUAUCCGGAUUCACUGGGUUUAAAGGGUGCGUAGGCGGGCAGGUAAGUCAGUGGUGAAAUCUCCGAGCUUAACUCGGAAACUGCCGUUGAUACUAUUUGUCUUGAAUAUUGUGGAGGUAAGCGGAAUAUGUCAUGUAGCGGUGAAAUGCUUAGAUAUGACAUAGAACACCAAUUGCGAAGGCAGCUUACUAUACAACGAUUGACGCUGAGGCACGAAAGCGUGGGGAUCAAACAGG